CAUAUACUCCCUCCGUCCGGAAAUACUUGUCAUCAAAAUGGAUAAAAAGAGAUGUAUCUAGAACUAAAAUACGUCCUGAUACAUCUCCUUUUAUCCAUUUUGAUGACAAGUAUUUCCGGACAGAGGGAGUACGUA
rfam:Triticum aestivum genome assembly, contig: Triticum_aestivum_CS42_TGACv1_scaffold_178464_2DS